AGCAACUGCAGGAUGGAGCUGCGGUCAUCUCCACAAGGACUUCAUCUUCUCAAGAGCUCUGGAGCAUCACAUAAAUCAGUCAUCAACCUUUCUACAAGGGCUCACAGAAGACAUCUGAAGCAGAUGACACCGUCUCUGGCAAGCCAUUUCUGGGAAGAGGUGCUCUGCUCUCAGCCACACAGGAACUCCAGUGGGAAUAUAAGGACAACAACCCACAAGAAGACACAAAACUUUUGACCCCAAGUUUAUCCUUCCUACAAGAAAUGCAGAGAUAAAUGUGGAGCAGAGACUAUGGGAAUGGACAACCUAUAAAGGUCCUAAGUUUAGACCCAUCCACAGGCAAGUACAAGUUCCUGACAAUAUUAAUGAUACUUUGUUAUAC
ensembl:lncRNA